UUUCCGUAGGUGAACCUGCGGGAGGAUCAUUCAUAAUAAGUGUUUUAUGGCACUUUUUUAAAUCCAUAUCCACCUUGUGUGCAAUGUCAGGGUUGAUUUUUCUCUCGAGAGGAUCAACCCCAAACAUCAGCUAUAUCUCAACUCUUUGUCUGAAAAAUAUUAUGAAUAAAACAAUUCAAAAUACAACUUUCAACAACGGAUCUCUUGGCUCUC
rnacentral:misc_RNA from 1 species